rnacentral:rRNA from 1 species
CCUACGGGAGGCAGCAGUGAGGACUAUUGGUCAAUGGACGAGCGUCUGACCCAGCCAAGUAGCGUGAAGGAUGACUGACCUAUGGGUUGUACACUUCUUUUAUAAAGGAAUAAAACGAGGCACGUGUGCCUUUUUGCAUGUACUUUAUGACUAAGGAUCGGCUAACUCCGUGCCAGCAGCCGCGGUAAUACGGAGGAUCCGAGCGUUAUCCGGAUUUAUUGGGUUUAAAGGGAGAGUAGAUGGGUUGUUAAGUCAGUUGUGAAAGUUUGCGGCUCAACCGUAAAAUUGCAAUUGAUACUGGCAGUCUAGAGUACAGUUGAGGUAGGCGGAAUUCGUGGUGUAGCGGUGAAAUGCUUAGAUAUCACGAAGAACCCCGAGUGCGAAGGCAGCUUACUAAACUGUGACUGACAUUGAUGCGCGAAAGUGUGGGUAUCAAACAGGAUUAGAUACCCCAGUAGUC